rnacentral:lncRNA from 1 species
GAAAAGUUUAUUUCUUCCAGUUUUUUUUCUUCCAUGACUGCAUUUAGAACACAGUGACAGGGUACAUGAAUUUGGGCUCUUUAGAUAGAAUCAGUUCUGGAUUUCUUUUAUUAUUUUGUCACAGUGCUUCAGUGCUGGUUCUAGAUUAGAUAAAUCAAUCGCAUUUGAGGAGGGUUUCCUACAGUUCACAUAUGAACACACACACACGUACACACACACAUGCUCACACACACACACGUACACACACACAUGCUCACACACACACACGCUCACACACACACAUACCCUCCAAACAUUCUAGCCAGAAGCUGUCUUUGCUCUUUCCUUUCAGCAUGGCUUCUAUCCAGAGCCGAUUGCAGAAAACAGCAGCUCCCCAGCACUAUUGCUGACAGUAAUCUCAAGGAAAGAAUUGCACCUACUCAAGCCUGAGAACAUAUUCAAGAAGUUAAUUAUUUUCCUAGUGUGGUCCUUGGAGCGACUUUUUUUGUUUUGUUUUAACCUUGUUUCACUAUAAAGUGCCAUGGGGUAUUAUUCCUGUGGAACAUAUGGGGUACUAUAUAAAACCAAGUUGUUGCUGAUUUUACUUGAAAUCAGUUUUUAUUUCCUGUUUUAUGUCUACUUGUUUACAGCACCUUGAAACAUCUUUGGUGUGUUUGCCCUGUGCUGAGGCCUUUGCAAUGAGAGCGGCAUCUCUCUGGUUCCUGGAUAGCUCACUCUGGAGUGCUGCAUCCCUGUAUGUCGAGAGAAGGAUAGAGCUAGGAUUUCACAAAGGGCCUCAGAAACCAAACUUCAAAUGGACAUCAUGGCUUCCUAAUUGCUUUCUUCGCUGCUACCCACAGAGCUGUUUCUGGCACCUGAAUAACUGGCUUCCACCAGAUACUCCAUUGGAAGGUAUUAAAGAUUUUCCACUUAAAGUUUUCUCAAAGCUGUGAAUUGUCACAUCACCCCACCCUUCCUCCUGCACAGGAUGCCACAGAGCUGGGUCUACAGAGGACAUGACUUGGUUUCCAUCAGCUGUGGCAGGGUUUCACUGUCAUUUGAAAUGACUAACUAGAUUGUGACUCUCUUGGGGGUCUUGGAAGGACAGAAAGCUGUGAUUAAAUGCAAGAGACUUCAAGCCUUUUCUGUCUUCCUAGGGGCAGGUAGUAUCUAACCAAAUUUGGAGUAUGGGGUUGGUAGCUUCAUGCUUGAAUUAUAGGUUCUAAUCCUAGAAGAUUGAUUUAUGUCCCAAUGAUAUAAGAUUUAUGCCAGAAAUAGAGCCCCCCCGCCGCACCAUAUGUAUACAUGUAUAUUUUUCUGCUGUUUCCCAGCUUUUGGAGUAUUUCAGAAAUGUAAGCCAUAAGAUACUGUGAAUGUGUCCUACUCAGUGUGCAUAGCAUGGGAAUACCAGCAGGGCUGCAUUUUUCUUAACAGUGUAUGAGAUUCUAGAUUCAUGUCUUUCCCAGGUUAUUCUCUUCUUGCAAGUCUCUUCCCCUUCCCCACUCUUCGGUCACAGGGUUUCUGUCCUACAACUCACCGACGAGAGCGAAAAAACUCAGCACCUCACACACACACAUUUGCUUGAUAAGAAAUUGGAGGAGGUUGAAUUGCCACAGUGAACGAAGGCCUCGGG